GAAGCAUUCCAGCGUUUCUUGGAUUAUUACAAAAAUGGUCAGCAUGCAAACGCUUUGAGUGGAGCAGAAAUCAGCAUUUUGGGCCACUUCACGUGUGGAAUGACAACUGAUCAGAUAGCUACAAUCCAUCAUACCACCUAUUUAAAUGCGUCAGAAGCUAUAGGACAAGUAACAAGCUGCAAUGAACUACAAUUUAUUGAGUGGGCUAAACUUGCCAAAUUAGCAUUUGGUGAUGAUGUAUCUACCUGGGAUACGUCUACCAUUCAGAGAGUUGGCACAGUAAUUGGGGGCCUUAAAGAAGAGGAUAUUCUAAAGCUUACUGAGGACCACAUUGAUAGCAUCAAUCCAGAUCACAUUACAUACAUUCCAUCCUCUA